UCCUUGCAGAGCAGGCAAGGAGAAAUGCCGACCGGUGCUGGCUGGAGGUGGAGGCGGCUCCGCAGGCACACCCCUGCAACACUCCUUCCUGACAGAGGUGACAGAUGUUUAUGAGAUGGAGGGAGGACUGCUGAACUUGCUCAAUGAUUUUCAUUCAGGCCGCCUGCAGGCCUUUGGUAAGUCCGGGAGCAGGGCAGUUCUGUGGGUGCUGCUGGGGAUCUUGGUCUGGGGACAGGCUGGGGUUAGGGUCCCAGGCUGCCUCCUAAACUCAAGAGUUGUCCAGGGAAGGAAUGUUCCUUCGAGCAGCUGGAGCAUGUUCGGGAGAUGCAGGAGAAGUUGGCCAGACUGCACUUCAGCCUGGAUGUGUGUGGGGAGGAAGAGGACGAGGAAGAAGAGGAGGAUGGGGUCACAGAAGGCUUGCCUGAGGAGCAGAAGAAGACAAUGGCUGACCGCAACCUGGACCAGCUGCUUAGCAAUGUGGGUCAUAGAGCUGGCUGUUGUGGAUCCUGGGACACCAAGGGUGGAGAGGGCACAGGCUCCCAAGUCUCCCAUGGAAAGUUGGGUACAUGAACCCAAGAGUUGUGAGCCCCCCCUCCCCCAAGCUCCACCAGUAGGCCUUCCCCAGAGCAUCCAGGUUUGUUCUGGGUCCCCUGACAUAAACCUUUUCUCUGUGUUGACAGCUGGAAGAUCUUAGCAAUUCCAUGUAUCCUUUCCAAGGGGCCUUAGGGAUUCACAUGCCGCUAGGGUGAGGGAGAAAUGAGGAGCAGGAGAUGAGUUUCUUCGUUCCUAUCUCUAUUCACACAUAACAAAUAUUCCCAUCUUCAGCUCUCAUACUGACUCAGAAUUGGCAACAAACUGGCCCCACUUAAGAGGAAUGUAGAAUUUCCCAAAUUCUAAGGGAAAAAUGCAUCAGGUGUGGUGACACAAAAUGUUAAUCCCAGCACUUGGAAGGCAGAGGCACGGAAGUGGAGCUCUUGGGUUUUGAGGUCAUCCAGAUCUACAUAGUGAGUUCUAGGACAGCUAGAAUUAAACAAACAAACAGAGCAGGGCCAUGGAGGAGAGAAAAAUGCAUGUAAGAAGUAUGUUUCAAACAGUGAUAUCUUUUUUGUUUGAGACCGUCUCACUGUGUAAGCCCUAGCAUGAUGGAAAUCUUUGAAGCAGACACCGACACAUAGCAAAGCUUGUCUGCUGUUCUCCUGCCCUUUCCGCCUUUUCUGUUAGGGGGCAAGAGAGAUUCUGGGAUUCGAAACAGGGUUUCUCUUUGUAGCCCUGGCUGUUCUGAGUAAAGCAGGCUGGCCUUGAACUCACAGAGAUACAGAGAUCCACCUGCCUCUGCCUCCCAAGUGCUGGAAUUAAAGGCAUAUGCCACCACAUCUGGCUUUCAGAUUUUAAUCUUUUUUUAAAGAUUUAUUUAUUUAUUUAUUAUAUGUAAGUACACUGUAGCUGUCUUCAGACGCACCAGAAGAGGGCAUCAGAUCUCAUUACGGGUGGUUGUGAGCCACCAUGUGGUUGCUGGGAUUUGAACUUCGGACCUUCGGAAGAGCAGUCGGGUGCUCUUACCAACUGAGCCAUCUCACCAGCCCCCAGAUUUUAAUCUUUAUUUAGGUGGUUGUGCCCUGGUGUGGUGGUCCUGAACACACACACACACACCUGUACAGUGUGGGAAGACGUGGAUACACAGGUCCAAAGUGUCACAGUCCUUGACUGACACAGACAGAAGCUACACUUGGCAGAGAAUGCUGAGCCUGAGGACCAGCCAGCUGCGUAGGUGUCGCCUAAACUCUUCUGCUACUCUCCUCUUCAAACUGUGAAUUUUACGGAUUCGGAAGCCCCUUGGUGCUAUGGGGUCGGGGGCACUGGUUGGAAUUAAACAAACAGAAAAGCG
rnacentral:lncRNA from 1 species